GACGAACGCUGGCGGCGCGCCUAACACAUGCAAGUCGAACGGAGUUGUGUUGAAAGCUUGCUGGAUAUACAACUUAGUGGCGGACGGGUGAGUAACACGUGAGUAACCUGCCUCUCAGAGUGGAAUAACGUUUGGAAACGAACGCUAAUACCGCAUAACGUGAGAAGAGGGCAUCCUUCUUUUUACCAAAGAUUUAUCGCUGAGAGAUGGGCUCGCGGCCGAUUAGGUAGUUGGUGAGAUAACAGCCCACCAAGCCGACGAUCGGUAGCCGGACUGAGAGGUUGAUCGGCCACAUUGGAACUGAGAAACGGUCCAG
rnacentral:rRNA from 1 species